rnacentral:rRNA from 1 species
CCUACGUGAGGCAGCAGUGGGGAAUAUUGCACAAUGGGGGAAACCCUGAUGCAGCGACGCCGCGUGAGUGAAGAAGUAAUUCGUUAUGUAAAGCUCUAUCAGCAGGGAAGAAAAUGACGGUACCUGAGUAAGAAGCCCCGGCUAACUACGUGCCAGCAGCCGCGGUAAUACGUAGGGGGCAAGCGUUAUCCGGAUUUACUGGGUGUAAAGGGAGCGGAGACGGCAGGUCAAGUCUGGAGUGAAAGGCGGGGGCUCAACCCCCGGACUGCUCUGGAAACUGUACGGCUGGAGUGCAGGAGAGGUAAGUGGAAUUCCUAGUGUAGCGGUGAAAUGCGUAGAUAUUAGGAGGAACACCAGUGGCGAAGGCGGCUUACUGGACUGUAACUGACGUUGAGGCUCGAAAGCGUGGGGAGCAAACAGGAUUAGAUACCCCUGUAGUC